rnacentral:rRNA from 1 species
UACGUAGGGGGCGAGCGUUGUCCGGAUUUAUUGGGCGUAAAGAGCUCGUAGGCGGCUCAGUAAGUCAGGUGUGAAAACUCCAGGCUCAACCUGGAGACGCCACCUGAUACUGCUGUGGCUAGAGUCCGGUAGGGGAGCAUGGAAUUCCUGGUGUAGCGGUGAAAUGCGCAGAUAUCAGGAGGAACACCGGCGGUGUAGACGGCUUUCUGGACCGUAGCUGACGCUGAGACACGAAAGCGUGGGUAGCAAACAGG